rnacentral:lncRNA from 1 species
CUAUGCAUAGUAAACUAGUUCUGAGAUGGAGAACCAGGCCAAGCUCUUCGAGGAAGAAAAAAGAUUAGGAAAUGAAUGACUUUGCUGGACCACACCCAGUGAAUCGCAGGUUGAAGAGCAAAGGAGCCAACCAAUCAUGGACUAAAACCUCAGCAACCGUUGAUUACCUCCCUGAUGUGCUACAGUGAUAGCAAACUGACUACUACAGAAUAGUUGGGAGCCAAAUUAUGGUAUAUUGAGGCACAGAGCGAUGAGGGGUUUGACUUAGCUCAUAAUAAACAUUUGUAAUAUGAGAAUAACAGGGCAAGACAUUCCAAAGUGAAAUGCUAGGUGAGGAAGAGAGGGUACUGAUAGACAAAAGAAGACAUGCCAAGUAAGGAGAAAAGUUAUAUGUGAUCGGAAGAAUGAAAAGAAGAAAAGGAGAAUCAAGUGGAUUGUAACUCCUAAAACGAUCAUUAAGAUUUAAGAGGCAGAGGUGAAAUCAGAGAAAUAGCAGUGAAGGCCAGGGUGUUCAAGACUGAUGCUGUGGCUGUGAUGAUGAACGCAGACCAAAGAUUGAAUUAAACCCGCAAAUUAUCGGUAAAACAUACCACACCACUGGAUGUGUCUGUGAGACUGUUCCUGGGAAGAUCAAGCAGCUAGUAAGUCCAGCUCUGAAUAUGGGUAAUACUAUCCCGUAAGCUAAGGGCUCCAAUAUGAUUAAAGACCUAAGGGAAAGGCUUAUGCAUGAAUUCUCUCACUAAAUCCUAACCAAUAUUAUUUGACCUGCUAUCCAGCACAUACCAUGCUAGAAUAAAAUCUCUUAAGCC